AUAUGAUUCUUUGUGAACUCAUAGCAUCGUUGUCACUGUCAUCACAAUCAUCACUGCCAUCACCAUUGUCACCAUCAUCAUUACAGUCACCACUGUUGUCAAGAUGGUCACUGCCAUCACCAUCAUCACCAGAAUCAUCACCAUCAUCACCGCUAUUACUUUCAACACUACCAUUGUCACCACCAUCAUCACCAUCAUCAUCUCAAUCGUGACCAUCAUCACCAUCAUCAUCAUAUACUCUUGUAUUCCCAGUAACACCAAUCUGAGCACCUUGAAGCUAAACUCUGUAGAGUAAAAUCCUGUGGUACCAAGACGCAGCCACAGUAACACAAUCACAGCUGGGUACUGGCUCCCAUGUUCUGCCCAGCUUCUGUCUGUGGAUCAAAGUUCCUUUCUUCUUCAGGAGAAGGAAUGGGGCUAGAAAGUGACCAGGAUUUUCUCAGAUCAUGUCACCUUGAUGCUUCCCUGAAGCUGCAGGAGUCUCACUUCCAGCUGAAGGUGUCUGCAGGCUUGUCAUUCCUGGAUGUUGCUAUUUAUGCUGGUCACCCACUGAGGAUGUGGAAACUUCAGGUGCCUGCAUGAUCACUGAACAGCGUGGAUCUGGUGAUGCUGAUGGCUGCUGGGUGAGGACCUGAAGUGGCAGCAGAGGUGCUGGGAAAGGGUAAGAAAAUUGAGACAUAUGUUGAAUGUGGGAGGUUAGGAUGGACUGUGAAGCCUCAACAGGGAUCUCGAGCAGAGAUGCCUCAUUGACAGAACCUAUGGAGUUAAGUGCCUACUCCCUCAGUCGCCCCUGCAGGGUUCACCUGCAAAGUUAAUAGCAACAUUUUCUGUAGCAAUCUUGUUAUAAGAAACACACCAACCCCAAACAGGAAAUGUGACAUCUAAGAAGCUUUGUAGACAGAGAAUUACCAACCAUUUACUAACUUAUCUUGUUCUAUGUGGGCAAAUGAAAAAUUAAGCCAAGUCCAGGGAUCAGCUCAUCUUCCAGCAGAGCCAUACAUUAGAAAUUCAUUUUCUUCUCAG
rnacentral:lncRNA from 1 species